UCGGACGUGGGGUAGUAGUUAACCCGCUUCCCUCCCAAGGAAGAGAGUAAGUGACGCAGUCGUUAAGGGAACAGAACACCGACUGACAGAGUACAGCCUGGGUGCAAAUCCCGGCGUUCGAA